UACAGAGGUCUCAAGCGUUGUUCGGAUUCAUUGGGCGUAAAGGGUGCGUAGGUGGCGAGGUAAGUCAGGUGUGAAAUCUCGGAGCUCAACUCCGAAACUGCACUUGAUACUGCCCGCUCGAGUACUGGAGAGGAGAUUGGAAUUUACGGUGUAGCAGUGAAAUGCGUAGAUAUCGUAAGGAAGACCAGUGGCGAAAGGCGAAUCUCUGGACAGUUCCUGAC
rnacentral:rRNA from 1 species